AUUGAACGCUGGCGGCAGGCUUAACACAUGCAAGUCGAGCGGAGAGAGGUAGCUUGCUACUGAUCUUAGCGGCGGACGGGUGAGUAAUGCUUAGGAAUCUGCCUAUUAGUGGGGGACAACAUUUCGAAAGGAAUGCUAAUACCGCAUACGUCCUACGGGAGAAAGCAGGGGAUCUUCGGACCUUGCGCUGAUAGAUGAGCCUAAGUCGGAUUAGCUAGUUGGUGGGGUAAAGGCCUACCAAGGCGACGAUCUGUAGCGGGUCUGAGAGGAUGAUCCGCCACACUGGGACUGGGACACGGCCCAGACUCCUACGGGAGGCAGCAGUGGGGAAUAUUGGGCAAUGGGCGGAAGCCUGAUCCAGCCAUGCCGCGUGUGUGAAGAAGGCCUUAUGGUUGUAAAGCACUUUAAGCGAGGAGGAGGCUACUUUAGUUAAUACCUAGAGAUAGUGGACGUUACUCGCAGAAUAAGCACCGGCUAACUCUGUGCCAGCCGCCGCAGUAAGAC
rnacentral:rRNA from 1 species